UUAGAAGACUUAAUUUGCCUCCGUGCUCUAAAAAGGUGUGCUUGGUGUGACUCUGCCGCCAUGGAAGAUGUUCCUGUAACUUGGUGUUUGACUUCUAAUUGUUUUUUUUCUGAGUUGUGCAUGAUUUCCUCCUAAAUGUUCUUUUAUGGCGAAAGAAGAAAGAACGGAUCUUACGUGAAGAUGUUUGCUAAUUGAUUUUUUUCAACAAACGUAUGAUUGAUGGAUAUUCCUAACAACUUAAAUUCUCUUUAUUAACAUUUCAGGCAGAUUCAUCGGUUUUGAUUGAACAAUCUAACAUUAUGAAAACUUCUCAGGUAGAUGUAAUCUAUAAAAAAGUUCACGGUAGCAUAUGAUGUUCCACUGUGAAGUGAAUUUA